GCUAGUCGAGCGUCUUCAGGCUAUGGUGAGGACGCGGCGAACGGCUCAGUAACACGUGGCCAACCUACCCUUAGGACGGAGACAACCCCGGGAAACUGGGGCUAAUCCCCGAUAGGUGAGGACGCCUGGAAUGGUCCUUCACCCAAAGGAUGUUGAAAGCAUGCUUUUCAGCGUUGCCUAAGGAUGGAGCCGCGGCCGAUCAGGUUGUUGGUGAGGUAAAGGCUCACCAAGCCUAUAACCGGUACGGGCCAUGAGAGUGGGAGCCCGGAGAUGGGCACUGAGACAAGGGCCCAGGCCCUACGGGGCGCAGCAGUUGCGAAACCUCCACAAUGCACGAAAGUGUGAUGGGGCUAACCCGAGUGCCGUCCGCUGAGGAUGGCUUUUCUCCGCUGUAAGGAGGCGGAGGAAUAAGGAGAGGGCAAGACUGGUGUCAGCCGCCGCGGUAAUACCAGCUCUCCGAGUGGUAGGGAUGAUUAUUGGGCCUAAAGCGUUCGUAGCCGGCCUGACAAGUCUCUCGUUAAAUCCAGCGACCCAAUCGCUGGGCUGCGGGAGAUACUGUUGGGCUUGGGAGCGGAAGAGGCCGACGGUAUUCUCGGGGUAGGGGUGAAAUCCUGUAAUCCCGG
rnacentral:rRNA from 1 species